UCUGCAUCACUAUAGCUGGGGCAUGUCCUGGGUCCCCCGGAUUGGCUGUGGAGAGAAGAGGAACAGUUUUCUUGCAUUAGCCAUUUGAAAACAAUGCUUUUCCUCCCUGACCGCUUCAGAAUCAACUACCCACAAUCAACACGUUCCUUUAAAUGGUGCUCAUGGAACACAGUUCUCCAUGUGAGAGGGCCAUCUGCAUACAAGUCUACACUUUUGGCUUCUCAGAGGGUGAGGAGUCAAGCACUGAUGGCCAGUGGAGCACACUUUCCCUCUGGUAAGGAGAGUUCUUUCCACGGAUCCAGUAUUAUCUAUUUCAGGUCAGUGUGAAGCUCCAUUGACCAAAGAGAAAAACAACAACAACAACAACAACAACAACAAACAAAAACCUCCCUCCCUCAGUGUGUUCAAGUGUUUUUACUGGUCCAUAAACAAAAAUCACCCACACUUACUCAAACCACGGGCUCUUCCUCAUCACUCAUUGUUGGCAUAACAUUAGUUGCUUAUCACACCUGUUUAAACUUCCAGAGGAUAAGAAAUAAUUUGUAUACACCUAAGUCAAUUUGUUUGUAAGAUUACUCUGCAGAAGGGCUGAUAUAAACAGAAUGUGCAUGAAGCUAGUCUAGUCUAGUUGCACUGAUGUGGUGGCACAAAGCUGAUAGCUCAGGAACCAGCCCAGGCCACGUUCAGAUUUGUAGGCACCAUCCUCUAGUAAGUUCUACUAAUCUCUUCCUUUUUUGUUUAUGGACCUUUCUUCAUUCCCUGGCCCUACCCUGGAGGGCCCAUCCAGCUACCUGCUGGUAGGCCACCUCCAGGAGAUGGGCCUACUGCCUCCUCAAACCCAACUUGUCUCAAACCCAAAUCAUUAUCAUCCUUCUGACUCAGCCAGAGUCACCAAAAACCAGGUUCUUCUUUUUCUACCAAUUGGCCAUCAUUGGAGGAACCUGAAGUGUCUGAGCCUGCAUCAUGAACAAUACUCCACUUACUAGGGUGGCUUUCCACCCAAGCUGAGAAACUGUGUUCCAAAAAUUUACACUUGGAGAUGUCUCCUCCUAGCUUCACUCUCAGGACCUGGACCAACCCCCCACAUUUCAUCCCUGGACUCUGACAGCAGGUUUCAAAUCGGCCUCUACCUGCCACUACCUGCCAGGGUAAAGCCCUGGAUCACUACCACCCUGUGCUAUUCUAGAGAGAGAUUUUCAGGUGGGCAAAUGCUCACCUUUCAAGUGCCAAUACUUAAAAAAAUUAAGAGUACUGUAUGCUUAGGUGAAGUACACUUGAGUAGCUUUUGUCCACAGGCCAGCAUUUGCUGAACUUUGCCAGUAAGCAGGGCACUUCAUGGUAAACUGACCAAUUGCAGUGAGUCUUUAAAGCCCUCCCUGCUCCUUGCAGUCAUUUAUUGCCAUGUCUCUAGAGUUGCUCUUUAUUGUUAAAAGUUAAUUUUUACUUACCUUUUUGGUUACUUUCAGAUCAGAAAGUAUGAGUCUAACUAGAUGAAACUUUAUUGUAAUAACAGUUUAAACAUGUUUAAAUAUAGCAUUAUGUAGCACACGGACAUAACCAAACACAUAUUCCUUUUCUAACCAGCAAAAAUUCCAGGAAACUUGUAGAGUUCCUCAUCUUCUGUUGUAGAUGUUUUCAGUGUCUGGACAGAGUUCGCGGUACCAAGCAAAUACCCCUCACCAUCCUGCCUCACCCACUUGGAAACGUGAAAGCUGACUCGGGCACUUUUGGUCAGCGCUAAUCCAAACCAGGGGACACACAGGAGUCCUCGGCCAGCACCUUGGCACCACACCUUCUUUGUGACGGCUGUGAUUCUAGCAGCACACACAACCUCUGCAAUUAUGUGUGACUUUAACUAAUUACCUGUCCCGGCUCUGCCCAAACCCCUUUCCCCCAACCCCUGGUUCCCUUCCAGUAUUCUAGUUCAUGCCUGAGGCCCUAUCUUGAGGAAUCCUCAACAGCCCUGGUCACAAACAAAAUAACUCCUUCUAGGAAUUCUAUUCCGCCUGCCGAGUUUGCUCUGCUAGGUAUCAUGAUCUGUUCUACUUCUCACCCAGCCUAAGUUUGGCCAUAAUACCGGCCCAGCUAUAAAACACACUCAUUCACUUAGAAUUGCUCUGUGUUCUUUCUAGGUUUAUUAAAAAAGACUAACACACACAGAGUAUGAAGUUUGAAAAUGCAUCUUUUUCUCAUUCCCUUUAUAGCUGAACUCAAAAUAGCACUCGUCCCACUCGCCCCUUCAGAGAAGGAGCUGCUUUGUUGGGGAAGGUUUUACAUUUCUCUCACCUACUUAACACCCUGCAUAUACACUUUUCUCAACUUAUCUCAGUAAGUUGAUUCUCCCCAAUUCUUGCUUUAUGAGAUGACUGGCAUGUCCAACAGAACUUUCUGCAAUGAUGGAAAUGUUACAGAUGUGAUGGCUACUGAGCACUCAAAAUGUGCCUCUGAGAAACUGAAACUUUUACUUUAUUUAACUUUAAUUUAAAUUGCCACAUAGUGCCAGUGGCUGCUGUCCUGGACGGCACAGGCAGACUCUUGGUAUUCCCAUCAAAGGAGAGGAAGGCAAGGCUGUGCUUUCCUUGGACACAACUGUGCUACUGAUUGAGCCUCAGGUGUUUACCCUGAAGCUAUAAAUCCAGGCACUUGUUCUGUGAAUCCAGUGGAAAGAUUCCCCAGUUCAAAUUCCAACUUACCCAUGUUAUCUGUGUCGAGUUUCAGUUUCCUCAUUUGUGAUAGUUACCUGAUGUAUGUAAACAGGCUGCUGGGACAAUCGACUGAGACAAAAUGGAUCUGAAAGCACACUGUAACCUAAAUAAACACCCUACAAAUAGGCAGUAUUUAUGAAACACUGGAAUUAAAAGUACUAUAGAACCAUGUGUCAAUGUACAGCUCAUGUUCUAACCAUUUAGCUAUGGAUGUAAUGGGAAAGAGACACAUUCUCUCCCUAUGGAUACUACACCAUAUCAAUUAUACUGGAAAGAAGUGGCAGUGUGGACAACACACGUGUAGAAAGGACACAAGAGGUGGCAAGUAAAACGCCUGCAUUCUUUCUCAGCAGAUGUAAACCUUGACUCAUUGCUUACCAAACACACUAGGAGUACAAAGAAAAAAAUAAAGCUUAUUCAAUUGAAAAACUUGCCCUUUGGCACUGAAUGAGGUUUUCCAGAUCUCUUUCCAGCCACUUCUUCCCAAGAUUCAAAAGGCCAGCAGUCAUGGACAUCACCCAUGCCUACAUUUCCCCUGAGCCCUCAAAGAUGAAUGGGACAAUCUGAGCAUUAGACAUGGCCAUGGUUUAAAGGUGAGGCACAUUUCCUCCAACUUCAAGUUUCCCUCAAAGACUAAAACACAAAGUCUCUCGUUUUUAUGCUUAUUUCAUGAAUAUCUUUUCCCAAGGCUUUGAGUUCCAGGUCUGUGUGUUUAAUAUACCUAGCCUAAUACUAAUUGCAAAGUUGGUCCUCAGAACUAAGUUAGUUAUAUAAUAGUGAACAUUCUUUAAUUUCUUCAGAGAGUCCUUAAUGAACUCAAAUUCAUAAUUUUUAAUCACCGUAACUAUGUAUUUCUUCCAUAUGGGCCUUAGAAUACAAAUAUUUGUUUUCAUGAUAUAAUAAUAAACUUCUGUAAAAACAAGACUGUCUACCCCAACAGACUAUAAACGCUUUGUGGCUGAGGGUCAAAGCUUAGCUAUUAAAAAACGACAACAACAACAACAACAACUGUGGGUAUAUACAACAUCUCUCAUCACCACGCACUUGAUCAGUUCAAAGGCUGUUUACUGAUGAGUCCAAUCUUUGGUUGAAACCCAAUGCACUUUCUGGCCACAUCCUUAAAACAAUUUAUGACAACUUUCUAUUAUCUGGCAGGCCACCAACGAUCCUAACAGAACUUACAGAGCAAUGGUCCUGAUGCGAGUCAUUCUGUUCUGUGACUUGACAUAGAAAUUGCAUUUGAGUCUUAAAUACGGUGCUAUUUCAACACCUGUCACCCUAGAAAGAUAGUAAGUCUUACCCCAAAACAUCUCAGGACAUAAUUUUCAGUCCCCUUGAUUCUAAAAAUACUGAGUGAUACAGAUCUGCCAGUAUGCCAAAGAAGGCUUGUGCCAUCUGCUUCGUUCUGCUCAUGUUGAUUAUUUUGGGGAUGAGAGAGGAUCAGACGGGAAGAAGAACAUAUAUAUAUGGUAACAGCCAGGAAAGACUGUGUUCCCAGGGGACAGGGGUAUACGAGGGUGGAGGGGGGAGUCAGAACACAACUGUAGUUCCAGGACUUCUCCAGUGCUACAUAACACAUCAUCUAAUGGGGCACAACUGCUUUACAACAUUCUUAAAAUAAACUGUGACUUCUGGCAUCUAUUUCCAUUGUCCUCAGUGACACAAUCAAUGCAAGGCCCAUUUCUGAGAGGAAAGUGAAUUUCCACUUUUGGUCUUCCAACAAGGGUGUUUUUCUCAAUAUCAGUUCUUUGAAGGACUUUGGUAGCAGUCUCUAUCAAAUUUAAAAAAGCUAUUUAGAAAUGUCAUCAGGAGAAAGAUGAUAUCCAGAACCUCCAGGUAGUCAUGGCUGCCAUGGCUGCAGACCUCACUCCCAUCAUGGCCGGAAGGCAAGGCCAAGGAUCACUCCACUUGCUGUUUCCUUAAAGUGCUACUUUCUCUCACGCUUCUGGCUUUCUCCCUCCUGGAAUGUCCUGGGAACCCUUGUCUACCUGGCAAACUUCUACUUUUCUCUGUCACUGCCAGGCAGAGGCACGAGUUCCUCCUCCACACGGUGAGGUGUUUACUCAAUGGCCCAGUAGAGAUCUCCACCUUAAUAUGUUUGAAGAGCUUUCACUCUAGUUUAUCCUCAUUGUAGGAAGCACUACCUGCCCUUCUAUUCUGCUCUGAGAGAGCCACCUGCUGAGCCAUCAGGUUUGUUGCCUAUAGAUUCUUUUCAGCUGUCACCUUGAAAGACUGAAUUUUGUUAACCCAGUGACUAAGCUCUUACUUUCUAAGAAAUGAGGCUUAAGAUAAACAAGAAAGACAAAGUGAAUUAUUUCUCUAAUAUUCAGGGAAAAAAUUGAGAAAGCUGUCCAGAUGAUUAUGCUACAGCUUUGGAACAUCAAAUCCACAUCCUAGCCAGAACAUCUGAAAAGGGACAGGGUGUGUUCUGUUUACAAAUAGUGUAAUAUUUGGUUAAAGAUGGCCAACUGAAUAAAAGCAUGUAGCUCCAGUCUCUCUGAAAAUUCUACUAAAACAGUAAUAGUGGGAUUUUUCUAAAACACAGCCUAAUAUAAAAGGGAGAAAACAACAAAUUUUGGAAGCUGAAAAGCAGGUAAACAAGCAGUGAUCGACUUGGCCAUCCUAAGAAAGCUAAAGUUUAAGCCAGCAUUAAGAGGCAACAAAACAACCUGCUAUACCCUGAAGCAUCUACCAUAUGUCUCUGCAAUUUGGUACAGUAGGUACUUCUGGAAGUGAGGAUGGAAACAGGUAUGAAAGCAGCAGGUGAAAGUCUGUUAGUGAAGCACUGAGCCCUCCUGACCUCUCCUGAUGCCUGCAGUGGGGUGCCUGCCCUUCCUUCCCCUAGCACAAGUGCUCGCUAUGGAGACUGUAUGAAAGUGGGGGAGUAGCCUGACACAGGGUGAAUGUCCUCUCUCUCAGGGCAGGAGGAUGGAGGAGUCUUCCCUGGGAAGCUGACCAGCCCAAGAGAAAAGAGCAAACCAUAAGGACAAAGGGGGUUUCCUCCAGGGGUCGCCACCUUACCCUAUACAAGGCCCCAGCUGACAAGCCCCACCUAAGUAUACAAAGCUCCCAUCAGCUCUUUACUGGCUUGACUCACAAAUUAGUAGGCCAAGGAUCACCAGAAAUCAGAGGAAGGCACUUAAUAGGGAAAACUGACACAAAAAGUAACGGGGAAAAAAAGACUACGGGGGGAAGGAAACUUCAAAAAUAAUAAUCAUUAAUAUCCUAGAGAGAACAGAGGUCCUUAAAAGAAGAGCAGGAUAUUAUUUUUUAAAGAGGACAACACCAACAAAAAGGCAGUGGCAGUGCAAGACCCCAGGGGCUGGGACAGGCAUUUGAGUCAAACUUGCAAGGGGAACACUUGAGAACCCAGAGAGCAUCUGAGAGUCAACACCAUGAGGCAGCCUCUUAUAACUCAGCUAAUAUAAUCCAGAGACUAACAUUCAUUGACUAAAUGGUUAAAAUAUGUAUCAUUUCACCAAGAAACAUGAAAGGAGAGGAGAUGAUUUUUAAACUAACAAAACAGAGUAUACUAUCUUCAUCACAUGACAAAGUUACCUAUUAUCAUUGCUUGCAUGAAACAUUCAUGUAUUAGAAGUCAUGGAUAAUACGAUACAGUAAGACAAUAAACUAAUGAAAGGCAUAAAAUUGGAAUGGAAUAAUUAUUUAUUUGCAGAGGAAUGUCGAUAUAGAAAAUCCCAAAGAAUCCACACACAAGAUUAGAAAGCCUGGCAAGGUGUUUGAUUAUAAAAAUCAAACUACACAAACAGCUGCAUUUCUAAAUAUCCACAAACAGAAAUAUAGUUUAAAUACCAUCAUAUUAGCCAGAAAAUAAAGACAGGUAACUAGUGCCCAGCCAAAGGGAAAGAGACAAUAUGCAAGACUGGAAUCAUGGACAGGAUAUAUUCAAAGAUGUGUUUCCUCAGGAAUGAAUGGACAGAAUACAAUUACAUUGCUCUAUAAUGACAUAUGCAUGAAAACAGAUAAAUAGAAGUGAAAAUCAUUACUAAAACUUGAGGUGGUGGUUGUCUAGGCAGUGACCAUCUCUUGCUUGGGAGAUCAAGAAAGGUGUCACAGAGAAGUAAAAGUUGAAGCUAGCGUAGAAGUUUACAACGUGUUCAAGAGGGAGGUGGUCUAUUUCAGGCCAAGGGAAUGAAUCCAACCACCUGGAGAAUAAGUGGUUCAGUAAGACUGGAAUACAGGUGCAGAUGUGGGCAAAGGAGAAAACAGGCUAGAGAGAUGGAGAAUCGUGAAGGGUCCACUCUACAAGGGGAAGGUGGGCUUUUUUGUCAUAAAUUGUUUUUAGCAGAUUGAUCUAUUUAGUCAAGUCCAGCCACAAACUCUUGAAUUUAUGUGGAGAUGCAGUGAGGAGGGCGGGAAGAGAAGAGGUAGAAAUAGGUAGAGAAUGCCAAUAAAAUGCUGUGAGGAAUGGGAAGAGGCAGUGGGGAAAGCCUCAGCCUGUGAUUGUGAGCCUCAAAGGGCCACAGAAAACUGACAAAACCAAACUACCAAGGGGAAAGGACGACCCAGGCGCUCACCACCAGGGAGCUGGGCAAUGGGGACCGAUCAGAAGCAGUGGACUUGCCACCAGAUUUCACUUUUUGAUGGUAACUCUGGCAGGGACGUAUAAGACAUGCUGGAGGGUGGUGGGCUGGAUAAUGAGAUCAUUUAGGCUUCUGCCAGAUCUCAGAAGAGAGAACACAGGCCUGCACAAGGAGAGAGGGCAGGUUCCAGUGACACUCUGUAAACAGAAUAACUGGAUUAGGACUGAGGUUAGGGGAAAGAGGGAAUGGUGGUGGCAGAGAGAGGUUUUCUUCUGCAUCCCAGAAGAAAAACUCAGCAAAAAAUAAGCGUUAGGAGUUCAUUUUUAGACAUGCUGGGCUUAAUGGUGCCUAAUGGGCAUUCGGGCCAGCAAGGAGACGUGAAGCGUGGAGUGGCUCAGGAGCUCUUCUAGUCUAGGGAAGCGGAUGCCUUUCUGAACCUAACUUAUACAGGCGAUUUUAUAAGUUACUCUGAGCUUUCCAUGGGUGGCCUCAUAUCCUGUCAGUGACUCACGUGUUCAACCUUGAUCACCAAUGUUUUCCUCCUAGAGUGGUUUGGUCAAGUGGGCUAGCCCUGGGGGUAAGGAGGAAUUUGUUUUCUUUAUGGCAGGCUGCAGCUAGACUGAGACUCCCUUAGGUCAUCUACUCUGCACUGUAGCCCGGAUGGAAGCAGCCUUGUGGGGGCAUGGAAUUCUCAGAGCUCCAAAGACAGAAGCAGCCUUCUGCCUCAAAAUCCCCCCAGCUCCUCUUGGAUAAGAUGGUCUACUGAUAGGCCUAUGGUGAUAAAAAUGAGCAAAAUGAGAAUUAAGUCUGAGUUCAAAAACUUGAUGUUGGUAAAUAACUUCUAGAUGGUGAUAGUACAAACAAGAUCCUAAUAAACAAACAAACAAACAAACCCAAAACAAAAAUCUUUUGGUUAUCUCUUCUACUAGAAGAAGGUAGGCUUUUUAUAGAUGGGAGCUUUUCUUUGCUAUAUUUAGCAGAUUGAAGAUAUCUAACCUAUUGAGUCAAGCCUAGCCCCUGACUGCAUCUACAUGGAGAUGGAGUGAGGUGGUAGAGGUAGAGGAUGCCAAUAAAACGUUCUCAACUGAAACAGGAAGAAGUCCAGAGAAGCUAUGGAAAAGGCAAAAGCCAAUGAAUGUGAGCCUUGGAGAGCCACAGAGGACUGAGAGAUGCUGAACUACCAAGGGGGAAGGGAUGACUCUGAUGAGCAGGGAGCUGGGAUCUGUCACCCCAGAAGUGCUUCAUCUCUCACAGGUCUGGGGCCCCUUCCACCACUGGCCUUCCUCAUCCAUAUAGCACGGAAGCAAGGGGCUGGGACAGCCAGGAUCCCCACGAAAGGGCCAAAGGCCUUCUUCCAGAUGGGUCAUCCAGUAUAGUACCCACCAGGGGGAACGGAGGAAAAGAAAUAUUGUUGCAGACUCUUGGAUCUUUGACAGGCCUCCUCACCUCUCCCCACCAUAUGCAUUGUAUUUUUAAAUAGAAACAGUCACAAAAAAAUAGACAAAUGUCUACAAGUAAAAUAGAUGUGUGCAUUGAGAAAGGCAAGGGUUAAGUCCAGGCCUGGUUCUCAAGCUGAGAUGGGACUGCCUUGUUUGAAGAGGACUAUUUAUGAAUGAAGACUCUCAGGAGUCUGGUGGGGGGGUGAGGGGUGGAGAGCAACUCCCAAAAUCCAGACAAGAGCCUUUGGUAUUAGGGGAAGAUUUUCUAAUUGUUACAGUCAGGAAUGGGGAUCAUUCCUUUAUGAUAGCUGAAAAUACAUCCCCCUCCUCACUCCCUAGAAACCCUUGAGUCUCGCCUUUAGGCCCUUUUAGGGUCUGCUUCUAUAGCUGAUGGCGGUGAUCUCUUUUCCUGGGACUCUUAAGUGUAGGACAUGGAGGAACCAGAACUCUAAUUAGCAGCAGGACCUAUUAUUUUUCCAAUAAGGUUAACAUUCAAGGGAAAGAAAAGCCUCUUUCUUUCUCAGGAAGUGUGUGAGGAUAUAGGCUCACAUUGAGAAGAGAAAUGUGAAAAGCAUAUUAGUUACAUUGACCAUGGGAUGCCUGGUUUGUGAGUGAAAAUCACCGGAAUGACCUUGAAGGAUCUGAGAUCUAGAAAGGAUGCUCAAGACUUGGGUGGACUGUUUGAUCCUAAAAUAACAUAUCACUAAAUAAACAGAAAAAGGCCUUGAAGUACAGAUAACUACAUGGGAGCAGGGUAUCUUGACACUGGAUUUAUAGAUGACCUCAUUGUUUAUUUUUUGAAUAUCUGCACUUUCUAAAGUUUGAUAAUGACUACUUAGGCUGAGUCUAGGAGUAUACCCGGUUGACAAAUGGAGGAGGCAUAUUGCAGAGGCAGAGGGGAGAACAGAGAAGAGCUCGGAGUCAUGAAGCAGCAUAGGGCAAUGUGGAACACGUGGUGCAGCCUGGCUGGGAUGGGCAGGAGAGGGGCCUGUGUCAGAAAACCAAUAACAGGGAUAGUGCACCUGGCAGGGGACACUGGGUUUAUCCUACAGGGAACUGGGAGCCAGUGAAAGUGAGGAUGUCCCAUCUACAGAUGAAUUGCAGAGAGGAAAAAGUUACAUAUAAUCACUUAUCCCUCCCCCAUGGGUAACUCAGUUACCUGGAGAGAACAGCAGAUUGAAAGGUACUGUUCUGAAAUGCUAACUGGUUCUUUUUACAUGAGAUGAACCCAAGACCAAAUCGGAUUACCCUAGACACAAAUUUGAUGGGCAGUUUUAAAGUAACGUGCAGUAACUUUUCAAGCUCGAUGUAGAAAUAUCCAGAACUUAUAGUAAACUGUGUACAUGCAUGGUUAUGUGAGAAAAGUGAAGCUGCUGCACCUGUUCCCAAGCUCACUCCACUUCCUCCAGAAGCAUGCCUGUCUGCCUCUCGGGACACAGGCCGUACUUUAUUAGACACAAUUAUUUCAAGAAGCUUGAGAAUUUUCUCUUUGCCUUUCCAUGUCAUGUCCAAUAAAUUCAAAGGAUGCAAAGCAAAUUGUUCAUCCAGGAAUAGUUAAUUUGAGAAAUAAAAAUAUUUAUCACUGGUCCUUUAAGAUUAUCCUGAUUCUUGAUUUUUUCUUUUUAAACUGAUUAACAUUUCAUCAGGUUUCCAUUUUAAAAGAAAAUGGCACUGAAGAGACAAGGCAAGUUUUCCAAGCGACAACACUGGCUUUUCUGAAAGGGGAAAGGAAUGUUAAGGAAAUGGGGGAGAAAGCUUAAAAAGAGUGGAACACUAGCAAGCAGGGCCUCUUCUCCUUUUCACCUUAAGUCUUUUUUCUCUCCCAUUCACAGCUUUAGGUCCUUUGUUUGUUUAACAAACCAUUACAAUCAUACCCAGUUCAAUGGGGGAGGAAUGUGAACUCUCUGAGUAGCUGUCCUUGCAAUCCACAUGUGUGGUCCAUCCCCCAGCUCAUCCGCAGGCAGCUUUCAUGUGCUGCUCUGCGCUCCCCGUCGCCCCGGAGGCCGGCACCUUGCUCACAAUAAGCCUCAAUUUCCCACCGCUGCCUGCUCGCAGCUCCUCCCCAGCAGCUGAGAGCAAUGUCUCAAGUGGCUCUUCCUCCCCUGCUUGCCUUGCAAUCAUACUGUCCACCCUGCUUUGGCUGGCCCCCUUCAGCUCCUGAGACAGACAAGGCCUGCUGUGUUAGCCACACCCCACCUGUUCGCAGCCCAUGGACUCGCCACUGAAUACUUCGGCAGACACAUUCCAGGAUCUUCCUGGCUAGCACUCCUAGUCUUCUAAUGUCAGGCACACUGUAAACAGAAGAUACAGGCAAGACGCUCCCCCACCCCACCCCAACUCCCAGCCCUAACUAGAACUGCUAGGUCCUAGUAGAUAUGUUGGCCCUGUUGGGAUUAAUUUCAAUUUCUUGGUCAAUAAAUCCAAAUAUUUAGUGACAAUAUUGUAUUUCAGUAGGAGUCGGAAUACUAUUUAAUAAACUAUUUCAGUUGAGCUCAUAAAGCUCUCUCAUGCUAUUCCAAUAAUUUCCAUCUCAUAGCCCUAAGAGAUAGGUAGAAGGGCAUCAUUGUCCCCAUUUCACAAAUGAGGAAACUGAGGCUCAGAGGAUUUAAGUUUACUGCCCAUCAGCAUGGACUAAUGACAUACUGCAAGUAAUACACUGUCCUAAGCAAAACGCCUAGCACAGAGUGAGUGCCCCAAAGGCAUUAGCUUCUAUUAAUAUCAUUACUGGUGAUGAUGAUAAUGAUGAUGAACAGAGGUUGCUCCCAGGUGUUCUGAACUAAGCCAAGUGCUCUUUCAACCUACGCUUUGCCAUCCCUUCUAGCCACACUGUCUACAUGAGCAGUGAAGUUCAGCAACUGCUUUACAACAGCGUUUUCAAAUAAAGCCUCAGGAAGUAUGGCUGGAUUGCCUCAUGUGGCUGGGAUGCGACCAGCAUCUUUCCCAGGCUUAUCUUUCAGUCGACAUCUGCCACAAAGACAGGACAACCUCUUACACAUCUUAUGUACACAAGUUAGGAGUGUUGGCAGGGGCAGCUUUCUUCUUUUGAACUGACAGGGUUGUCAGCAGAAAAUUCCAUAGAUCUAUGUGUAUUACUAGGCUGUGGAUGUGGGACAGCAGAGGUCAUGAAAAGUUGCUAACUGCAUCAUCCAAUUCCCUGAAACACAUGUGCACUGAGCUUUAAAAAAUGAAAGGGCUAAAAGAACCCUGUUCUCGGGUAUUCUGCAGUUUGUGGAGGAAAUGUGUUUAUUUUCCACUAGAACCUUUUUGAAGUACCCUGAACCUCCAGCAUGUUCUUGCCUAUGAUGUGUUUCCAAGCAAUCGUUAAUAAACAUGCCCAACUAGAAAUAAUCUUAAAACAUGCGCACCUACUGAGUGACAGGGAACAUCUGCUGCGAGGCAGGGACCGAGUCCUCCCAGAAGUUUGUCUGAAGAUUCAAACCUGUGAGAAGAGACCUUG
rnacentral:lncRNA from 1 species